rnacentral:rRNA from 1 species
ACCUGAGAGGGUGAUCGGCCACACUGGGACUGAGACACGGCCCAGACUCCUACGGGAGGCAGCAGUAGGGAAUCUUCCGCAAUGGACGAAAGUCUGACGGAGCAACGCCGCGUGAGUGAUGAAGGUUUUCGGAUCGUAAAACUCUGUUGCUAGGGAAGAACAAGUACCGUUCGAAUAGGGCGGCACCUUGACGGUACCUAACCAGAAAGCCACGGCUAACUACGUGCCAGCAGCCGCGGUAAUACGUAGGUGGCCAAGCGUUGUCCGGAAUUAUUGGGGCGUAAAGCGCGCGCCAGCCGNUUUCUUAAGUCUGAUGUGAAAGCCCCCGGCUCAACCGGGGAGGGUCAUUGGAAACUGGGGAACUUGAGUGCAGAAGAGGAGAGUGGAAUUCCACGUGUAGCGGUGAUAUGCGUAGAGAUGUGGAGGUACACCAGUGGCGAAGGCGACUCUCUGGUCUGUA